AAUAAGUGCAGUUUUACACUAUUCAUGUUCAACGUUUGACCGUUUGUCUUAUUUGAUUUUUUUUAUGAUUAGUAUUUUUAUUGCUAUUAGAUGAUAAAACAUGAAUAGUACUUUAUGUGUGACUAAAUAUUUUUAAAUUUUUCACAAAUUUUUCAAAUAAGACGAACGGUCAAACGUUGGACACGGAUAUCCACGGCUGCACUUAUU
rnacentral:pre_miRNA from 1 species